rnacentral:rRNA from 1 species
AACGAACGCUAGCGGCAAGCUUAACACAUGCAAGUCGAACGAAUUGUAACUGUAGUUUACUAUAGUUGCAGUUAGUGGCAGACGGGUGAGUAAUGCAUAGGAAUCUGCCUAGUAGUAUGGAAUAGCUGUUAGAAAUGACAGGUAAUACCGUAUAAUCCCUGCGGGGGAAAGAUUUAUCGCUAUUAGAUGAGCCUAUGUUAGAUUAGCUAGUUGGUGAGGUAAUGGCUUACCAAGGCUAUGAUCUAUAGCUGGUCUGAGAGGACGAUCAGCCACACUGGAACUGAGAUACGGUCCAGACUCCUACGGGAGGCAGCAGUGGGGAAUAUUGGACAAUGGGCGCAAGCCUGAUCCAGCUAUGCCGCAUGAGUGAAGAAGGCCUUAGGGUUGUAAAGCUCUUUCAGCAGGGAAGAUAAUGACGGUACCUGCAGAAGAAGUCCCGGGCAAACUCAAA